rnacentral:rRNA from 1 species
AGGGUUCGAUUCUGGCUCAGGAUGAACGCUAGCGACAGGCUUAACACAUGCAAGUCGAGGGGCAGCAUAGAAGUAGCAAUACUCGGUGGCGACCGGCGCACGGGUGAGUAACGCGUAUGCAACCUACCUAUCAGAGGGGAAUAACCCGGCGAAAGUCGGACUAAUACCGCAUAAAACAGGGGCACCGCAUGGUGAUAUUUGUUAAAGAAAUUCGCUGAUAGAUGGGCAUGCGUUCCAUUAGGUAGUUGGUGAGGUAACGGCUCACCAAGCCGACGAUGGAUAGGGGAACUGAGAGGUUGGUCCCCCACACUGGUACUGAGACACGGACCAGACUCCUACGGGAGGCAGCAGUGAGGAAUAUUGGUCAAUGGGCGGGAGCCUGAACCAGCCAAGUCGCGUGAAGGAAGAAGGAUCUAUGGUUCGUAAACUUCUUUUGCAGGGGAAUAAAGUGCAGGACGUGUCCUGUUUUGUAUGUACCCUGAGAAUAAGGAUCGGCUAACUCCGUGCCAGCCGCGGC